rnacentral:rRNA from 1 species
UCUAUGGAGAGUUUGAUCCUGGCUCAGGAUGAACGCUGGCGGCAUGUUUAAUACAUGCAAGUCGUACGAGGUGAGGAGCAAUCUUCACUGUAGUGGCGCACGGGUGCGUAACACGUAAGAACCUACCUUUUGGAGGGGGAUAACAAUGGGAAACUGUUGCUAAUACCCCAUACAGCUGAGAAGUGAAAGUGAGAAAUCAUACCAAGAGAUGGGCUUGCGGCUGAUUAGCUAGUUGGUGAGGUAAUAGCUUACCAAGGCCAUGAUCAGUAGCUGGUUUUAGAAAAUGAACAGCCACACUGGGACUGAGACACGGCCCAGACUCCUACGGGAGGCAGCAGUAAAGAAUUUUCCACAAUGGACGAAAGUCUGAUGGAGCAAUGCCGCGUGGAGGACGACCUGCUGUGGCAGUUAAACUCCUUUUAUCAGAGAAGAAUAAAUGACGGUAUCUGAUGAAUAAGCAUCGGCUAACCCUGUGCCAGCAGCCGCGGUAAGACAGGGGAUGCAAGCGUUAUCUGGAUUGAUUGGGCGUAAAGCGUUUGUAGGUGGUUUUGAAAGUCUACUGUCAAAGCUCAAGGCUUAACCUUGGAAAGGCGGUAGAGUACUCCAAGACUAGAGUGUGAUAGAGGUUGGGGGAACUCUUGGUGGACCGGUGAAAUGGGUAGAUAUCAAGGGGAACACCAGUGGCGAAGGCGCCCAACUGGAUCAUUACUGACACUGAGGGACGAAAGCAAGGGGAGUGAAGAGGAUUAGAUACCCUCGUAAUCCUUGCCGUAAACAUUGAAAACUAGGUAUUAGUCUAAUAUUUAGAUUAGUGCCGUAGCUAACGCGUUAAGUUUUCCGCCUGGGGAGUAUGCUCGCAAGAGUGGAACUCAAAGGAAUUGACGGGAUUCUACACAAUCGGUGGAUUAUGCUGCUUAAUUCGAUGAUACACGAAGAACCUUACCGGGGUUUGACAUGCUAAGAAUCAACCAGAAACGGUUGAGUGUCCUGUUUAUACAGGAAACUUAGACACAGGUGGUGCAUGGCUGUCGUCAGCUCGUGCCGUCAGGUGUAUGGUUAAGUCCCAUAACGAGCGCAACCCUCGUCUUUAGUUAAUUUACUAAAGAGACUGCUGGUGUAAGCCAGAGGAAGGUGAGGAUGACGUCAAGUCAGCAUGCCCCUUAUAUCCCGGGCAGCAAGCGUAAUACAAUGGUUGGGACAAUCAGUUGCGAUCUCGCAAGAGCUAGCUAAUCUGUUAAACCCAGCCUUAGUUCGGAUUGUAGGCUGCAACUCGCCUACAUGAAGCCGGAAUCGAUAGUAAUCGCUGAUCAGCUAAGCAGCGGUGAAUAUGUUCCUAGAAUUUGUACACACCGCCCGUCACACCAAGGAAGUUGGGACGAGCCUAAGUGGUUAUCCUAACCCGUAAGGGAGGGAGGCUACAAAGCAUGGACCAGUGAUCAUGGUGAAGUCGUAACAAGGUUUCGCUAGUGGAAGCUGGCGAAGGAUAAUAUUUUUU